rnacentral:rRNA from 1 species
GAUGAACGCUGGCGGCGUGCUUAACACAUGCAAGUCGAACGGUGAAGCAGGAGCUUGCUCUUGUGGAUCAGUGGCAAACGGGUGAGUAACACGUGAGCAACCUGCCCCUGACUCUGGGAUAAGCGCUGGAAACGGCGUCUAAUACUGGAUAUGUGAUGUGACCGCAUGGUCUGCAUCUGGAAAGAAUUUCGGUUGGGGAUGGGCUCGCGGCCUAUCAGCUUGUUGGUGAGGUAAUGGCUCACCAAGGCGUUGACGGGUAGCCGGCCUGAGAGGGUGACCGGCCACACUGGGACUGAGACACGGCCCAGACUCCUACGGGAGGCAGCAGUGGGGAAUAUUGCACAAUGGGCGGAAGCCUGAUGCAGCAACGCCGCGUGAGGGAUGACGGCCUUCGGGUUGUAAACCUCUUUUAGCAGGGAAGAAGCGAAAGUGACGGUACCUGCAGAAAAAGCACCGGCUAACUACGUGCCAGCAGCCGCCGUAA